UACGAAGGGGGGCUAGCGUUGCUCGGAAUUACUGGGCGUAAAGGGAGCGUAGGUGGACUGUUUAGUCAGAGGUGAAAGCCCAGGGCUCAACCUUGGAAUUGCCUUUGAUACUGGCAGUCUUGAGUACGGAAGAGGUAUGUGGAACUCCGAGUGUAGAGGUGAAAUUCGUAGAUAUUCGGAAGAACACCAGUGGCGAAGGCGACAUACUGGUCCGUUACUGACACUGAGGCUCGAAAGCGUGGGGAGCAAACAGG
rnacentral:rRNA from 1 species